UACGUAGGUGGCGAGCGUUGUCCGGAAUUACUGGGUGUAAAGGGCGUGUAGGCGGGAUGUUAAGUCAGAUGUGAAAGCCCAUGGCUCAACUGUGGGACUGCAUCUGAAACUAAUGUUCUUGAGUGCUGGAGAGGAAAGCGGAAUUCCUAGUGUAGCAGUGAAAUGCGUAGAGAUUAGGAGGAACACCAGUGGCGAAGGCGGCUUUCUGGACAGUAACUGACGCUGAGGCGCGAAAGCGUGGGGAGCAAACAGG
rnacentral:rRNA from 1 species